CAGGUUCCCCAAGCCCAUAGGAUGAGUCUAGGUGCUGAAGAAACCCUGGCUAGAUUGAGGCUGAACACAGUGCAGGGAUGGGGGAGGGAGAACUCAGAGAAAGCUCCAGCAACAUAUAGGAAAAUUCACAUGACCUAAAGGGGGAAACACAGAAUUACAACUGUUUCACUCAACAGAAGACACAUUAGGGAAGUGUGGGACGAGACAGAACAGUCUUCAAUUUCCAUAUGACUCCGUGGUCAGUGUGACUCCCAAGGACAAUCAAAGCAGAACAACAACAGCUUAACCAGAAAUGAACGUCACAGGAAGACCGUGCAGCUGUGACGUCAAAGUCCCAGGGAUCACUAGAAGGACAUUUGAGAGAGUGUUCCGACUAUCUUUGGCCCUUGGACGAUGCGAACCUAUAUUCUCUGCAGAAGAUGAUACAAUCUGAUUUAGAAAAUAAGAUCAUUACUAGUAUCAUUCUGUAAAACAAGUUAAUCUCAUAUUUUUU
rnacentral:lncRNA from 1 species